GGGUUCAAAGUCCCUCUAUCCCCA
rnacentral:tRNA from 1 species